rnacentral:rRNA from 1 species
GACGAACGCUGGCGGCGUGCUUAACACAUGCAAGUCGAACGGAAAGGCCCUGCUUUUGUGGGGUGCUCGAGUGGCGAACGGGUGAGUAACACGUGAGUAACCUGCCCUUGACUUUGGGAUAACUUCAGGAAACUGGGGCUAAUACCGGAUAGGAGCUCCUGCUGCAUGGUGGGGGUUGGAAAGUUUCGGCGGUUGGGGAUGGACUCGCGGCUUAUCAGCUUGUUGGUGGGGUAGUGGCUUACCAAGGCUUUGACGGGUAGCCGGCCUGAGAGGGUGACCGGCCACAUGGGGACUGAGAUACGGCCCAGACGCCUACGGGAGGCAGCAGUGGGGAAUAUUGCACAAUGGGCGGAAGCCUGAUGCAGCAACGCCGCGUGCGGGAUGACGGCCUUCGGGUUGUAAACCGCUUUCGCCGGUGACGAAGCGUGAGUGACGGUAAUGAGUAAAGAAGCACCGGCUAACUACGUG